rfam:Saccharothrix sp. ST-888 contig-294, whole genome shotgun sequence.
CUUCACCGAGCCCAGCCACAGCGGCCGCUCCUCCGAACGCUCCUGGCCGUAGGUGGCGAGCAGCGCCUGCGCCUC